rnacentral:rRNA from 1 species
GACGAACGCUGGCGGCGUGCUUAACACAUGCAAGUCGAACGGUGAACCUCUUCGGAGGGGAUCAGUGGCGAACGGGUGAGUAACACGUGGGCAACCUGCCCCCGGCUCUGGGAUAACUCCAAGAAAUUGGGGCUAAUACCGGAUGUUCACCGCUUCCCGCAUGGGUGGUGGUGGAAAGGGUUUCCGGCUGGGGAUGGGCCCGCGGCCUAUCAGCUUGUUGGUGGGGUAGUGGCCUACCAAGGCGACGACGGGUAGCCGGCCUGAGAGGGUGACCGGCCACACUGGGACUGAGACACGGCCCAGACUCCUACGGGAGGCAGCAGUGGGGAAUAUUGCGCAAUGGGCGGAAGCCUGACGCAGCGACGCCGCGUGGGGGAUGACGGCCUUCGGGUUGUAAACCUCUUUCAGCAGGGACGAAGCGCAAGUGACGGUACCUGCAGAAGAAACACCGGCCAACUACGUG